GGAGGGAAAUUCCCGGGAACCCGGUAAAAAGGCCCCAAAUUUCCGGGAGAGAAACACCGCGGCGAAGCGGGCUCCCCGGGGGUUGCCACCCGAACUCUGAGGAGGCCCGAAAACCCAGGGGGACCGAACAGGGAUUAAGGAGACGCCCGGGGUAAGUCCCCGGGGCCCUGGUAAACCGAUGGAUGCCAGUUGGGCCCGAGAGGUUCCGUGCCGAAGGGAACCCGAUAAGCAUCCCGCCUGAGGAGUACGGUCGCAAGGCUAAAACUCAAACGAAUUGACGGGGGUCCGCACAAGCAGCGGAGCGUGUGGUUUAAUUCGAUGCAACACGAAGAACCUUACCUGGGCUUGACAUGCACGUGGUAGCGAGCCGAAAGGCGAGCGACCCUUCGGGGAGCGUGCACAGGUGCUGCAUGGCUGUCGUCAGCUCGUGCCGUGAGGUGUCGGGUUAAGUCCCGUAACGAGCGCAACCCCUGCCCUCAGUUACAAGUGUCUGAGGGGACAGCUGGCGAAGAGUCAGAGGAAGGAGGGGAUGACGUCAAGUCAGCAUGGCCCAUAUGUCCAGGGCGACACACACGCUACAAUGGGCGGUACAGAGGGGAGCGAAGCCGCGAGGCAGAGCGAAUCCCUGAAAACCGUUCGUAGUUCGGAUAGCAGGCUGCAACACACGCCUGCUUGAAGCCGGAGUUGCUAGUAACCGCGCGUCAGCCAUAGUCGGUGAAUACGUUCCCGGGCCUUGUACACACCGCCCGUCACGUCAUGGGAGUCGGCAACGCCUGAAGUCGGUAGCCUAACCCGAAAGGGAGGGCGCCGCCGAAGGCGGGGCCCCCUGGGACGCAAGUCGUAACAAGGUAGCGGUACCGGAAGGUGCGGAUG
rnacentral:rRNA from 1 species